rnacentral:rRNA from 1 species
GACGAACGCUGGCGGCGUGCUUAACACAUGCAAGUCGAACGGAAAGGCCCUGCUUUUGUGGGGUGCUCGAGCGGCGGACGGGUGAGUAACACGUGGAUAACCUACCUAUAAGACUGGGAUAACUUCGGGAAACCGGAGCUAAUACCGGAUAAUAUAUUGAACCGCAUGGUUCACUAGUGAAAGACGGUUUUGCUGUCACUUAUAGAUGGAUCCGCGCCGCAUUAGCUAGUUGGUAAGGUAACGGCUUACCAAGGCAACGAUGCGUAGCCGACCUGAGAGGGUGAUCGGCCACACUGGAACUGAGACACGGUCCAGACUCCUACGGGAGGCAGCAGUAGGGAAUCUUCCGCAAUGGGCGAAAGCCUGACGGAGCAACGCCGCGUGAGUGAUGAAGGUCUUCGGAUCGUAAAACUCUGUUAUUAGGGAAGAACAAAUGUGUAAGUAACUAUGCACGUCUUGACGGUACCUAAUCAGAAAGCCACGGCUAACUACGUG